rnacentral:rRNA from 1 species
GACGAACGCUGGCGGCGUGCUUAACACAUGCAAGUCGAACGCUGAAGCUUGGUGCUUGCACUGGGUGGAUGAGUGGCGAACGGGUGAGUAAUACGUGAGUAACCUGCCCUUGACUCUGGGAUACGCCUGGGAAACUGGGUCUAAUACUGGAUACGACAUGCCACUGCAUGGUGGUGUGUGGAAAGGGUUUUACUGGUUUUGGAUGGGCUCACGGCCUAUCAGCUUGUUGGUGGGGUAAUGGCCUACCAAGGCGACGACGGGUAGCCGGCCUGAGAGGGUGACCGGCCACACUGGGACUGAGACACGGCCCAGACUCCUACGGGAGGCAGCAGUGGGGAAUAUUGCACAAUGGGCGGAAGCCUGAUGCAGCGACGCCGCGUGAGGGAUGACGGCCUUCGGGUUGUAAACCUCUUUCAGCACGGAAGAAGCGAGAGUGACGGUACGUGCAGAAGAAGCGCCGGCUAACUACGUG